AUAACAUUAAAGUAAUAUUUUGAUAAUACUAUAUAAUCUUAUAAUACUGCAUUAUAUAUUAAAUUGUAAUGAUUAAAAAAUAUUUUGUGUUAUAAAUUUUAUUUUAUAUAAAAAUUUUAUAGGUUUCUGUACAAUUUUUCACAACAAAAAUUAGUUAUGUAAGUACAGUUCCAGCUCAGUGUUAUGCCAUUGAGCCAAUUUAGUUGUGCUAAGUUGACCUAGAGUGACUUUGAAAAUUAUAAAAAUUUCACUAUAGUUGAUCACUCAAGUAAUGGUAUAGUCUGGAGAGGCUGCAUCCUUCAGAGUCGUAGACAAUCCUGGCAUCACUUUAUUAGUCUCUUAACUUCUGGCCAAGAUGGCAAAGUUGAACUAUCAACAGCCUAAAAAGAUCAUUAGAACAUGCAAUCCUCCUUGUCACAUAAAGUUGUGGCCCAAAGGGAAUGCCAAUAAUAUAAAAAAUAAAAUUGUGAUAAAAGUAAAAUUCAGUCUUGUAGGAUUAAUACUCAAAUUCAGUCUUAUAGGAUGUAGUAUGGUGUCAAUUGUUCAGAAUAGAUGUGUGAAUAUAUUCCCAUUUUUAAAAUUUGUUAUUUUUAAUUCCAAUCAUAGAUAUGCUUGGCAUGAAGGAUAAAAGGAUUUC
rnacentral:lncRNA from 1 species